UACGUAGGGUGCGAGCGUUGUCCGGAAUUAUUGGGCGUAAAGAGCUCGUAGGCGGUUUGUCGCGUCGGCCGUGAAAUCUCCACGCUUAACGUGGAGCGUGCGGUCGAUACGGGCAGACUUGAGUUCGGUAGGGGGAGACUGGAAUUCCUGGUGUAGCGGUGAAAUGCGCAGAUAUCAGGAGGAACACCGGUGGCGAAGGCGGGGUCUCUGGGCCGAUACUGACGCUGAGGAGCGAAAGCGUGGGGAGCGAACAGG
rnacentral:rRNA from 1 species